UACGUAGGGUGCGAGCGUUGUCCGGAAUUACUGGGCGUAAAGAGCUCGUAGGCGGUUUGUCGCGUCGUCCGUGAAAACUUGGGGCUCAACCCCAAGCUUGCGGGCGAUACGGGCAGACUUGAGUACUGCAGGGGAGACUGGAAUUCCUGGUGUAGCGGUGAAAUGCGCAGAUAUCGGGAGGAACAUCAGUGGCGAAGGCGGCCCUCUGGUCCAGUACUGACACUCAAGUGCGAAAGCGUGGGGAGCAAACAGG
rnacentral:rRNA from 1 species